GACGAACGCUGGCGGCGUGCUUAACACAUGCAAGUCGAACGGAGAUAUGCUGAUGAUUUAUCGGAAGCAUAUUUUAGUGGCGGACGGGUGAGUAACACGUGGGUAACCUGCCCUAUGGAGGGGGAUAACACAAAGAAAUUUGUGCUAAUACCGCAUAAUGUGCCAUUAUCGCAUGAUAAAGGCAUCAAAGAUUUAUUGCCAUAGGAUGGACCCGCGGCCCAUUAGCUAGUUGGUGAGGUAACGGCUCACCAAGGCGACGAUGGGUAGCCGAUCUGAGAGGAUGAACGGCCACAUUGGAACUGAGACACGGUCCAGACUCCUACGGGAGGCAGCAGUGGGGAAUAUUGCACAAUGGGGGAAACCCUGAUGCAGCAACGCCGCGUGAGUGACGAAGGCCUUCGGGUUGUAAAACUCUGUCUUAGCUGACGAUAAUGACGGUAAGCUAGGAGGAAGCCACGGCUAACUACGUGCCAGCCGCCGCCGUAA
rnacentral:rRNA from 1 species